rnacentral:rRNA from 1 species
AUUGAACGCUGGCGGCAGGCUUAACACAUGCAAGUCGAACGAGCGGCGGACGGGUGAGUAAUGUAUGGGGACUGCCCGAUAGAGGGGGAUAACUACUGGAAACGGUGGCUAAUACCGCAUACUAUCGGAUAACCCAUAUGGGAUUGGCUAGUAGGUGGGGUAAAGGCUCCCCUAGGCGGCGAUCUCUAGCUGGUCUGAGAGGAUGAUGAGCCACACUGGGAGUGAGACACGGCCCGAACUCCUACGGAGGCAGCAGUGGGGAAGAUUGCACUAUGGGCGAAAUCCUGAUGCAGCCAUGCCGCGUGUAUGAAGAAGGCCUUAGGGUUGUAAAGUACUGUCAGCGGGGAGGCGUUACCCGCAGAAGAAGCACCGGCUAACUCCGUGCCAGCAGCCGCGGUAAUAC